rnacentral:tRNA from 1 species
AGUUUGGUGUCUGAUAAAAGAGUUAUUGUGAUACGAUAGAGAAUGCUAUAAAGCCCGGGCUGU